GAUAAACGCUGGCGGCGUGCCUAACACAUGCAAGUCGAACGCCCUUUUGCGCAAGUGAGAGGGAGUGGCGGACGGGUGAGUACCACGUGGGUACCUACCUUGAGGUGAGGAAUACCACCGAGAAAUCGGUGACAAGACCGCAUACGCUUGGCAACAAGCAAAGUCUCGCAAGAGACGCCACAAGAUGGGCCUGCGCCUGAUUAGCUAGUUGGUGAGGUAAUGGCNCACCAAGGCGACGAUCAGUAGCUGGUCUGAGAGGAUGAUCAGCCACACUGGGAUUGAGAACGGCCCAGACUCCUACGGGGNGGC
rnacentral:rRNA from 1 species